CUACAGGCUUAACACAUGCAAGUCGAGGGGUAGCAGGGUAGCAAUACCGCUGACGACCGGCGCACGGGUGAGUAACACGUAUCCAACCUUCCCAUUACUCGGGGAUAGCCUUUCGAAAGAAAGAUUAAUACCCGAUAGUACUUUUUCGAGGCAUCUCGUAAAAAGUUAAAGAUUUAUUGGUAAUGGAUGGGGAUGCGUUCCAUUAGAUUGUUGGUGAGGUAACGGCUCACCAAGUCUUCGAUGGAUAGGGGUUCUGAGAGGAAGGUCCCCCACAUUGGUACUGAGACACGGACCAAACUCCUACGGGAGGCAGCAGUGAGGAAUAUUGGUCAAUGGGCGAGAGCCUGAACCAGCCAAGUAGCGUGAAGGAUGACGG
rnacentral:rRNA from 1 species